rnacentral:rRNA from 1 species
UACGUAGGUGGCAAGCGUUGUCCGGAUUUACUGGGCGUAAAGAGCGCGCAGGCGGUCCUUUAAGUCUGAUGUGAAAGCCCACGGCUCAACCGUGGAGGGUCAUUGGAAACUGGGGGACUUGAGUGCAGGAGAGAAGAGUGGAAUUCCACGUGUAGCGGUGAAAUGCGUAGAGAUGCGGAGGAACACCGAUGGCGAAGGCAGCCCCCUGGGCUAACACUGACGCUGAGGCACGAAAGCGUGGGGAGCAAACAGG